rnacentral:lncRNA from 1 species
CUGAGGUCUUAGAAUGAAUUAAAAGGAAUUCAUUCCUUUGCCUUAACAAUGAAAAUGUAAUGAAUGAAGAAAGUGAAUGAAGGGACAGACAAGUAAACUGGAGUAUGAAUUCCUUGUGAGUGUGCAGUAUAAGCUCUUAGAGUUCAUGUUCAUGAAUUUAAGCUGGAUUCAACAGCACUGGAUUCAACUACACUGCUUUUCUUCAGAUACAUCCUGCAGCAUUGUAAGUAUAGAACAGGUCAACAAUAAAUGUAUAGUUUCCUGAUGAGAAGGCAACAGUUGAAGGUCAUAGGUCUGCAUCUAUUUCCUAUUGAACAGCUUUGCUGGUCACAAAAGCACAGACCUCAGUUCUAUUGUUCUCAUCAUAACUCAAGUCACCACUUUCUCUUCAAAAGAUGUAAACCCAAGACUAUGGUGUUCUCCCCCAAACUCUGAACUUCACCAAGAAAUCAACUUUUGGGUUUUUGUUCCUUUGUUUUUUUCCUGGAUACUGGUUCUGAGUAUUCAGCUACGACAGGGAUUCACAAACAUCAUGGAUGGUUUUGUGGAAGACAGAGUAUAUCUGUAAUGUAUUCCUUAUAUUUCAGCCUUUAGCUGAAAUUAAGAUAUCUGUAAUACUCAGAGAAGUCCAUAGCAUGCCUCCUUCCUGCCCAAUAUAAGCAACCCCCCCCAUGAUGUAUUUAUAAUACACAAACUGGAGAGUUAGACCCCAUUGCUCUGAUAUAUUGAGAAGCAAGGUUUGUUUAUGAUACGAUAUUCCUGUUUAAGAUUUAAUAAAGACCACUAUCUGUUUUGUAUUGUCA